CGAAGGGAGCUAGCGUUGUUCGGAAUUACUGGGCGUAAAGCGCGCGUAGGUGGUCAUGCAAGUCAGGGGUGAAAUCCCACGGCUCAACCGUGGAAUUGCCUUUGAAACUGCAUGGCUAGAGUUCGGAAGAGGAGAGUGGAAUUCCUAAUGUAGAGGUGAAAUUCGUAGAUAUUAGGAGGAACACCAGUGGCGAAGGCGGCUCUCUGGUCCGACACUGACACUAAGGCGCGAAAGCGUGGGUAGCAAACAGGAUUAGAUACCCUGGUAGUCCACGCCGUAAACGAUGGAUGCUAGCCGUUGGGACUUACGUCUCAGUGGCGCAGCUAACGCGUUAAGCAUCCCGCCUGGGGAGUACGGUCGCAAGAUUA
rnacentral:rRNA from 1 species